AUUGAACGCUGGCGGCAGGCCUAACACAUGCAAGUCGAGCGAGCGGCGGACGGGUGAGUAAUGUCUGGGAAACUGCCUGAUGGAGGGGGAUAACUACUGGAAACGGUAGCUAAUACCGCAUACCAUCCGAUGGGCCGGUGGGCGUAGCUGGUAGGUGGGGUAACGGCUCACCUAGGCGACGAUCCCUACCUGGUCUGAGAGGAUGACCAGCCACACUGGAACUUAGACACGGUCCAUACGCCUACGUGAGGCAGCAUUGGGGAAUAUUGCACAAUGGGCGCAAGCCUGAUGCAGCCAUGCCGCGUGUGUGAAGAAGGCCUUCGGGUUGUAAAGCACUUUCAGCGGGGAGGCGUUACCCGCAGAAGAAGCACCGGCUAACUCCGUGCCAGCAGCCGCGGUAAUAC
rnacentral:rRNA from 1 species